rnacentral:rRNA from 1 species
CGAACGCUGGCGGCGUGCCUAAUACAUGCAAGUCGAGCGAAGUUUUUCUGGUGCUUGCACUAGAAAAACUUAGCGGCGAACGGGUGAGUAACACGUAAAGAACCUGCCUCAUAGACUGGGACAACUAUUGGAAACGAUAGCUAAUACCGGAUAACAGUAUUUCUCGCAUGAGAGAUAUUUAAAAGUUGGUUAUGCUAACACUAUGAGAUGGCUUUGCGGUGCAUUAGCUAGUUGGUGGGGUAAAGGCCCACCAAGGCGACGAUGCAUAGCCGACCUGAGAGGGUGAUCGGCCACACUGGGACUGAGACACGGCCCAGACUCCUACGGGAGGCAGCAGUAGGGAAUCUUCCGCAAAGGGCGAAAGCCUGACGGAGCAACGCCGCGUGAGUGAAGAAGGAUUUCGGUUCGUAAAGCUCUGUUGUUAGGGAAGAAUGGAUAUGUAGUAACUAUACAUGUAAGAGACGGUACCUAACCAGAAAGCCACGGCUAACUACGUG